rnacentral:rRNA from 1 species
CCCUACUGCUAUCGGGGUGGGACUAAGACAUGCGAGUUGUGCGUCUCUAAGCUAUGGUAGAGACGCGGCGUACGGCUCAGUAACACGUGGCUAACCUACCCUUAGGACGGGGACAACCCCGGGAAACUGGGGCUAAUACCCGAUAGGUGAGGAGGCCUGGAAUGGUUCCUAGUCGAAAAGGCGUUGAAACCAUGCUUUUCGACGUCGCCUAAGGAUGGGGCCGCGCCCGAUCAGGUUGUUGGUGGGGUAACGGCUCACCAAGCCUAUAACCGGUACGGGCCGUGAGAGCGGGAGCCCGGAGAUGGGCACUGAGACAAGGGCCCAGGCCCUACGGGGCGCAGCAGUCGCGAAAACUCCGCAAUGCGCGAAAGCGUGACGGGGCUACCCCGAGUGCCGUCCGCUGAGGAUGGCUUUUCCCCGGUGUAAUGAGCCGGGGGAAUAAGGAGAGGGCAAGUCUGGUGUCAGCCGCCGCGGUAAUACCAGCUCUCCGAGUGGUAGGGAUGAUUAUUGGGCUUAAAGCGUCCGUAGCUGGCCUGGUUAGUCCCGCGUUAAAUCCAGCGACCUAAUCGUUGGGCUGCGGGGGAUACGGUCAGGCUAGGAGGCGGGAGAGGCCGACGGUAUUCUCGGGGUAGGGGUGAAAUCCUAUAAUCCCGGGAGGACCACCAGUGGCGAAGGCUGUCGGCUAGAACGCGCUCGACGGUGAGGGACGAAAGCUGGGGGAGCGAACCGGAUUAGAUACCCGGGUAGUCCCAGCUGUAAACGAUGCGGGCUAGGUGUUGGGGUGGCUACGAGCCACUUCAGUGCCGCAGGGAAGCCAUUAAGCCCGCCGCCUGGGGAGUACGGCCGCAAGGCUGAAACUUAAAGGAAUUGGCGGGGGAGCACCACAAGGCGUGAAGCUUGCGGUUC